rnacentral:lncRNA from 1 species
UGAUACCAGGAGGCUCUAGAAGAAGACAUGUGCUGCUCCUUGGAGGUUGGAACUGCCCCCCGCAGUGGCAUCUGUGAAAUGGGUGCCAUCUCACAGCCUUCAGAGUCUGCAUGAUACAAUCAUGAAUUCAACAGUGUGGAUGUGCACACAUGUGCAACACCUGGAGCUUCAGGGACUUCCUGUCAGCAGAAGGUCCUCAAGUCACCACACAGCUAUUCAGUCACCUCCACGGGAACAAGAAGAACACAUUGUGGGGCCGGGCCGUGGGGUGGGAGACACAACAGCGCACUGCCUCUUCUGUUACCAGAAAUGCCUCUGAUCUAAGGAUGCACAGCAACACUGGGCCAGACUGUUGAGGCGUUGUGAAGAGUGAACCCUCCCUGCUCUGCAUCAAAAGGCCUCGGGUCACUGACAUUGGGUUAAAAGGGCUGCCAGGAGAAAUGUUUAGCCCAGAAAAUCAUCCAGCGCUCGGCACAACUGGGGAAGUCAGGAGGCUCACUGUAGGAACCCAUCAGGCUGCGAGAAGAAGUCACGCUGAAGCAGGAAGUGCGGGAUCCUGGAUGUGGAGCCCAGCCCAGCAUCAGAAGGAUGCUUUCUGGAGGGAUAGUAUGCUCCAGUUACAGAGGGACUCUGGCCCCACUACAGGCAGAAAGGCUAAGUUGGGCAGGGCUGUCUCUUUGAAGAGCUGGAUCUCGGGGAAAGGAGGUCACAGAGAUUUGAGUCAAGCUUAAAACCUUCCUGUCUGGAGCAUCUUCUCUGACCUGGCCUAUUUUUAGAAGUUUCUUUUAAGGUCAGCGUGGGAAGCCAUGGAUUCAGCCGCAUGCAUUCCCCUGGACACUCUCCACAGCCAGCACGUUUAAAAUGGAGCCACUGAGAAAAGGAGCUGGGGACACUCAGCAGGGUCAGCUGGCACCCUCCCAUGCUGUAUUGUCCCUGAGGAGUAGCCACCAUCACAAUGGCCUGGCACAGAGCUAACACCCAUCACAGAUGCAAGCUGCCAGUUCCUGGGCCACUGGGCCAGCACAUUAGCAUGGAUGGUUCAGAUGCGGAAACUGUAGCUAACUGAGAAACAACGGUCAUCAGAGGCCACAAAACAAGGGCUGCGGUGAAUCCAACAUGUCUCCCAUUGGCUCUUCAUUUUUGACAGGUUCUCAUGUAUCCUAAGCUGACCUCAAACUCAUUCUGUGACUAAGUAUGGCCUUGAACUCCUGAUUUUCCCACCCCAGCUCUCAAGUCCUGAGGUUGUAAACACAUACCCCGACUCUCAGGUGAUGUGAUGCUGGACCCCAGGGCUUUGUGUAUGCUAAGCAACAUUCUACCACAGCCCCAGCCAUGGGCUCAUACUUUGAAUGCUUUACCUACAGCUACGGAGAACUAUUUUGAAGGCUGAUCAAAAUAUGUCAUUAGGGGUGGGUCUUCAGCUGUGGUCUCUGCUUCCUGCCUGUUGCCAUGUGAACAAGCCAUCACUACCAGUUCCCACCGCCAUACACCAAGACCUCCAGUCUACCUUUUCUGCCGUGAUGAACAGGAACUCACAGAAACAGUGAAAAUAAAUCUUUCCUCUCUGGCGCUAUCUGCGGUGGGCUUGAGAGAUGCAGAGAGGAAAGACCACGCAGCAUUACUCCCCCUCCCCCUUUCCGGAAUCCACGGAGGAGUCAUCCUCUUAAUUCUGCACAAGAAUCUCAGGAGAGAAUCUGAUUGGCUGAACUCUUUUGUCCUUGUUUAAGGGAGGGGCAGUAUUUUGAUUGACAGGUCCUUCCUCCGUGUGUGUGUGUGUGUGUGUGUGUGUGUGUGUGUGUGUGUGUGUGCGCGCACACACACACACACACACACACACACACAUGAGUAGGCACCCACACUGAAGCCACUGCCCAUGAACAGGAGGAUGAACAGUCCCCGGAAGCAAAGGAAGAUUCUAGAAAGCACUCCAUUCCUUAAAGACUUCUGGGGAUUAGCAUGCUACCCGUUGACUUCCAUCCUCUGCCUUUACAUCCCUCUGGUAAGUCUGUGUGAGGAAAGUUAGUUAAUUCCACGGCUGUGCACAGCUGGCCGUGACUCAACCAUCAAAACCAUGUCUAUAAAUGUAGGAGCCGGGCUGGCAAGGGUCC